CAGCAGCCACGGUAAUACAGAGGGUGCGAGCGUUAAUCGGAUUUACUGGGCGUAAAGCGUGCGUAGGCGGCUUCUUAAGUCGGAUGUGAAAUCCCUGAGCUUAACUUAGGAAUUGCAUUCGAUACUGGGAAGCUAGAGUAUGGGAGAGGAUGGUAGAAUUCCAGGUGUAGCGGUGAAAUGCGUAGAGAUCUGGAGGAAUACCGAUGGCGAAGGCAGCCAUCUGGCCUAAUACUGACGCUGAGGUACGAAAGCAUUGGGAGCAAACAGGAUUAGAUACCCCAGUAGUCCCUGUCUCUUAUAC
rnacentral:rRNA from 1 species